AGCCCCGUGGUGUAGCUGGCCAAGCAUGGCGUGCACUGCACCCGCAGACGUCGGAGGAAUCCGGCGGGUUCGAAUCCGACCGGGGCUACCA
rnacentral:tRNA from 1 species